AUCCUCUGGGAAUCCCUUCCCAAAACUUGGGUUUGGAGAAGCCAAAUUCCAUUUACAAUCAUGAGCGCCUUCUAAAGAGGCUGAGGGGUUAUUGGUGGAUUUUGUCCUGCAGGAUGGGAUUGCGUAUGCAGAUAUGACCCAGGAGCUGCCUUUAGGUGCAAGGGCUAAAAGGAGCUGAAUCCCUCAAGCGAAAACAGGAUGGAGGUACUGUGGAGUAAGACAAGAGGUUUUAUACAGAAGGGGGUAAGGAGGAGGAAUUUAAAAUGAAGAAAUGUUGGAAUCAGCGAGGAACAUGAGCCCAGAGGCUCUGGGAGAGGCGAAGUGUCUUGGUGGUGGUUUCGACUAUAUCCGCUAAGAAAACGCUCACGCUUGUGUCUAAGGAAAAAUGCAUGCUGGUGUAGCAUUGGGUGUGAUAGCUAAGCCUGAAAGCAGCCUACUUGUUCAUCAGGAGGAGGAGGGAUAAAUCGUGGAGUAUUCUUACAGUGGAAUAUGCUAGACAGCGACCCCGGAAUAAACCAUAUUGGAUGGGAAAAGAGCAGGGUAAAGAAUGUUAUAUACAGUCUGAUGUCAAUCAUGUGAAGUUAAAAACAUGGAAUACGAUCAUCUACACUGUUGAUUGCUACAUAUGUAAGUAAAAGUAUAAAACCAAGCAUGAGAAUAAUCACCAGUUUCUAGAGGAGUUACCUACCAGAGGAGAAGAAACACCAACUUCAAGGAGGGUUGCUCUGAAACCUUGAUGAUGUCUGCGUGUCUGUAAUGUUUUUAUUUAUGUGAACAAAUGUAGGAGUUCCCGUCGUGGCUCAGUGGUUAAUGAACCCGACUAGUAUCCAUGGGUUCUUGGGUUCAAUUCCCUGCCUUGCUCAUUGGGUUAAGGAUCCGGCGUUGCUGUGAGCUGUGGUGUAGGUUGCAGACCCGGCUCAGACCCCGUGUUGCUGUGGCUGUGGCACAGGCCUGCAGCUGUAGCUCUGAUUCGACCCCUAGCCUGGGAACCUCCAUAUGCUACAGGUGGGACCCUAAAAAGACCAAAAAAAAAAAAGUAUCCAAAGAAGCACGGCAUAGGUUAAGAUUUAGGAAGUCUGUGUGGUGGGCACAUCAACCCUCAUUAUGUGAUUAGCUUUUUCUGCCUGUACAUUUUAAAGAUCUCACGACUUGAAUUUUCUCAGUUUUAAUCCCAAAGGAAUAGUAACUCUAUACACAAGGAUUUAUAUGUGUAAUUUUUGUGGCUACCACAGAAAGGAGCAGAGUUCCACACUGGUCAGCGCAGUGGGAAAAAGUGACUUGAAUGAAGUGACAAGAUACUCAAAAACCUCCCCAAUUCAGCAGAUGGGGGAACCUGCAGCCUGGGUGCCCGGGAGGUGUGCGAACCAUUCUAACCUCCACCCCCAGAGUGGAUUUCCACAGGGCACGGAAGGGGGACUUGGAGCAGAUCUUGCCAGGCUAGGGGUCCAAUCGGAGCUGUAGCCGCCGGCCCGCACCACAGCCAUAGCCUCAGCAACACCAGAUCCGAGCCACGUCUGCCACCCACACCACAGCUCACUGCAACGCCAGAUCAUUAACCCAGGGAUCAAACAUGUAACCUCAUGGUUCCUAGUCAGAUUUGUUAACCACUGAGCCAUGAUGGGAACUCCUGAAGACAAUCUUUGAUAUCAUCAACUAAGGUGUCCUUUGGACAUAUCCAAUUCCAGAAUCUUCCCCAAAGGUCCUUCUGGGACCAGAGAAUGAGAUGGGUGCAGAGUAAGUAAGUCAAGCACAUGAAAAAUAAGGUCUAUUUCACAUAUUAUCUAGUAAUUUGUUAAGGACUGGAGUUUACAGUUUGGGGGGGUUCAUUUUUUUUUGUUUUUUGUUUUUUUUUGGCCUUUCUGGCAGCAUGCUGAAGUUCCCCGGCCAGGGAUCAGACCUGCGCCACAGUAGUAAUCAGAGCUACAGCAGUGACCAGGCCAGGUCCUUAACCA
rnacentral:lncRNA from 1 species